UACGUAGGGUGCAAGCGUUACUCGGAAUUACUGGGCGUAAAGCGUGCGCAGGCGGUUCUAUAAGACAGAUGUGAAAUCCCCGGGCUCAACCUGGGAACUGCAUUUGUGACUGUAGAGCUGGAGUACGGUAGAGGGGGAUGGAAUUCCGCGUGUAGCAGUGAAAUGCGUAGAUAUCAGGAGGAACACCUAUAGCGAAGGCAGCUCGCUGGGACGACACUGACGCUGAGACGCGAAAGCGUGGGGAGCGAACAGG
rnacentral:rRNA from 1 species